rnacentral:lncRNA from 1 species
CCAACAAAAUUACUGGAGCCCUACGCGACGAAAAAUUCUAGAAUGCAACGGGUAUAUUAGCGACGUGGCGUAACAAACUAAUCAAAUUAAUUCUUUUAAGAAUAUAUGUCCCAUCAUGAUUGUAAAAAAGUAUUUUUAUUGUACUUUUGUUUGAAAAGAAGGAAUGUGAUUGGCUUGUUAUUGAUGAUGUGGUGCAAGUGUGACAGUGUAGAAUUCCUCCUACGCGACACCCCCACACCCGCUAAAAUAGUUUUAUCUCUCUAAAUAAUUAAUUAAUAUUUUUUAGAUUGUAAUUAAAUUUUAUACUUUUAAUAUCCAUUUUUAAAUUUUAUUUUUUACUUAAAAGCAAAUCAGUCAAAUAUAAUUUUUUAAAAAAUUUAAUCAUUUUUAUUCUCUUAAAAGAACAAAUACCGGAA